rnacentral:rRNA from 1 species
UACGAAGGGUGCAAACGUUGCUCGGAAUCAUUGGCCGUAAAGCGCACGUAGGCGGCCCCAUAAGUCGGAUGUGAAAUCCCUCGGCUCAACCGAGGAAGUGCAUCCGAAACUGCGGGGCUCGAGUAUGGAAGAGGGUCGCAGAAUUCCCGGUGUAGAGGUGAAAUUCGUAGAUAUCGGGAGGAAUACCAGUGGCGAAGGCGGCGACCUGGGCCAAUACUGACGCUGAGGUGCGAAAGCGUGGGGAGCAAACAGG